UACGUAGGGGGCAAGCGUUGUCCGGAUUUAUUGGGCGUAAAGAGCGUGUAGGCGGCUUUGCAAGUCCGUUGUGAAAACUCGAGGCUCAACCUCGAGACGCCGGUGGAAACUGCAAAGCUAGAGUCCGGAAGAGGAGAGUGGAAUUCCUGGUGUAGCGGUGAAAUGCGCAGAUAUCAGGAAGAACACCCGUGGCGAAGGCGGCUCUCUGGACAGUUCCUGACGCUGAGGCACGAAGGCCAGGGGAGCAAACGGG
rnacentral:rRNA from 1 species